rnacentral:lncRNA from 1 species
AAAGCAUUCAGAUAGACAGCAUGCCUCAUCCACCAAUACCAGGACACCCUCCAAACAUCCAUCAGAGCCCUUCCUAAGGAAUCAUGUCUCUGGCUCGGCUGCUGCAUCAGGAGGGACUCCCAUUCAGAGCUUGUCUUUGUUCCCAUGCCUUGCUGACAGAGGACAGUGGCAGGCCACCCAUGGGUAGACUGACCCCCAGGAAAGCACAUCUAUCUUCUCUUCUUGCCCGCCCUUCUCUGCUUUUCAGCCACUCUUUGGGCAUCACAAAGAAUUUAAAUAAACCACUAGAGAAUUCACUUCCCCUCCCCUCUGAGUCAUUAGGUAUAAAUUAAAUGAAACGUAAAUAAGCUUCCCAAGUGGACCCUGCUGAGCAGGUUACUAAUUCGAUCCGAUGAGUCAAUGAGAAGCUGAAGCUUUUAAAGAAAAAGGAAAAGUUUAUGCUUCAUCCAAGGGAACUAAGGAGAAACUCUCUCUUUUUCCUGCUGGAUAUUAAUGAAGAAGGAUGCUGAUCCAGGAACUUUUGACCACCAUUCUGGCAUCCACGACUGGGAAAAAGUCUGCCUAACUCUACUCUCUCCAGGAAUAGUACUGACAAGCAGAGCAUCCUCAGACGCGUGCUUCAGACAGGAACUUUUUCUGUUGCCCAGGCUGGAUUGCAGUAGCGUGAUCAUGGAUUACUGCAGCCUUGACCUCCCAGGCUCAAUCGAUCCUGCCACCUCAGCCUCCCGAGUAGAGUAGCUGGGACUACAGGCAUGCGCCAUCACAGCUGGCUAGUUUGUUUGUUUGUUUGUUUGUUUGUUUGUUUGUUUGUUUGCUUUUUGUAGAAAUGGGUUUUGCACUAUUGCCCAGGCUGGUCUUGAACUCCUGGGCUCAAGCAAUCCUCCUGCCUCAGCCUCCCAAAGUGCUGGGAUUAUAGGCAUGAGCCACCAUGCCUGGCUAAUCCAGAUUUGUUUUCUAAGCCAGAUUUGCUUAGAUGUUGUUCUCCUUACCACAUAAAAAGUUCAAACCAGGACAGCAGAGAGUGACUCCACUGGUGUUGUUAGAGAAAGCAACUGCAGCCACUGUGAGCAUAUUAGAGAGACGGUUCUGAGACAGUCCCUAAAUAAUUCAGCCCACAGCCCUUCCUUAUCUGCCCUACUCCCUCAGCCUUCUGCAAAUAUGCACUUCUAAAGAGACUCCCCACCACCUUUCAAAGCAGGCUUCUUUUCAAAGGUACUACACUCUGAAUUUGGAAGCUAGAUCAGGGACUUUGGAGGUGUCCAUUAAGGGUUCAAGCCCACCAGCAUAAUGAGCCAGUGUCUCAAUGGUCUAAGUCCCCUCUAUUUUCUUCUCUGAAUCUCCAUCUCCUCUUCCCUCUUCCUCUCCUUCCCCUCCUACUGAGAAGCUGCUGUGAGGUGCUGGAAAGCAUUUUGAAUCUGCAGUCAGGUCUGUUAACCUUGAGCAAAUCGUUUCACUUCUAAGAUGCAGUUUACUCAUCCCUAAAACGGGAAUAAGAAUACUCAUCUCAUAAAGUGGAAGUGAGGGUGACGCAAGAUUUUAAAGAGAAGAUGCCUGUCUUUGAGCCAGUGUCCUCAAUCUUUUCUUCAUUUCACACACUGGAAUCUGCUUCAGCUUGAGAGCUGCCAAGUCCUCAAAGCUGUCUGGGAUUACCUUUUCCAUAACUACCAAGCAAAGUAACCCAAGUCCCCAUCCUAUUGGACCACAGGAAAGCCAGGCUCCUCUCAACCACUUCUCAGGGUUCGCAGGGAAUGAUCACCACUUAUUCUCACCCAGAAGCACAUCUCCCCACUUCUCCCCUCUGCGCCAGACGCAUGGUGGCCCCUUCUCCCAGGUGUGGAGAACCCAGCCCCUCCUUCUUAUGUGGGACAAUGCACCAAGACAAGGCUGCUGCACUUUCAGUCUCUACUCAAGACUUGAGGAUGUCACAGGCAAAUUCCAAAGCAAAACCAUAGAAUUUAUAUCUUAGAUUAUUUAUUUGAUUAGCAUACAAAACAGUAUAUAUGGUUAAAGAGUGAAGCCUCCUUACACUCCAAUUUCCUACCCCAAAAGGAAUGACUGCUUUUAAGUUCCUUAUGCAUCUUCCCAGAGUUAGUCUAUGGAUUUAUAAGCAUAUGUUUUUCUCCAGAAAAUCAACAUUUGAACUUCAAUAUUAGGAACCAAGACUCUAAAGCCAAAGUGCAAGCCCCACAGCCAUCUCUCUCCACAGCCUGGCCUGCUGCCACUUUUCCAGGGUCUUCUACUCAGAGCCAAGCCUCUUCCUCGUGCUGUUAAUUACACAGCCACUUGGCUACAGCUGUCUGCCCUUGGCCCUCACCUGCUCCCUGAGAAAGCCCAAAGCCAGUUAAGGUUCAGCGCUGCUGCUUCUUCAUCCCCAGAGCAGUCUAGUCUCACCCGCACUCCCCAAAAGCCUAUGCAGGUGUCUUUCCACCAAAAGGGCAGCUCUGCUUCAGAUGGAUUAUUCCCCGAUCCCUCCAGUAGUUGAUGCAGAACACAGCAGCUGGUAAAACAGCAACGCUUUUGUCAGAUUUGUCCACCACAUGGUGAUUUUCUGUCUGAUGAGCUCAGUGUCUGCUGAGACACUGCAUUGCAAGGUCUCUCCCAUAUACCCUGUUUUCUGCCAAGAGACAGAGCACGAGGGAUGCUCAUCAUCCUCAGGCAGCCAGGCAAGUAGCUAUUACUAGGCCCACUUUGCAGAUGAGCAAAGGAAGCUCUGAGAGGAUGAAUGACUUACCUGAAGCCACACGUCAGUACAUGCAUCGGGCCCUGGCUCCCAAUCUGUGAUGGAUCCGAGGAUGGCACUGCCUCUCCAACAGCCCCAGCCCGCAGCACUGACUUCAUCAGGGUCUCCUGGUCCAGAAGGGAGGCAGGCACAGAGGCAACCAAUGACAGAAAUAAGGACAGCAGCUCCCGUGUGUUGACAGCUUCCAUAUUCCAGCAGCUCCCAGCCCAGAAGAUUCUUUUGUGAGAAGUCAUCGUGCCUCCUGCUUCUUCGUUUUCAGAAAUCCUUACGUUCUGCCUGCUUCCAAGCCUUCCUCUCCAGCCUGUCAUCACUGUGCUCUGGGGACCCACUCCGGUGAACAGCCCCACACCCUCUCCGACCCUCCAUCAUGCAAGACUGGAAGUCAUCCUGGGCCCUCCUCCAUUAUCCGUCACAUGUGGUCAUUCCCAGAGUUCUGUCCAUCCAUCCCUGUACCUGGAUCUCAGAUUGAUCCUUGGUCUCUGGGGGACAUGUGGAUUCAGUUUUUGGCUCUGCCAUUCCUGUGGUGGCUGCUGUAUCAUAGAAGAAUAAGUGGUUGUUGCAGUUGCUGCACACCCCAAAGGCUGAGCACCGGUAAAAGCCAACUCCAAGGCCUAUGAAUGUUUUUUUCUUAGAACAAAGAAUCCCUUCUUCUAUACCAAGAUUAAGCACUAUUCAUAGUAGCUGAGCUAUGGAAACAACCCAAAUGUCCAUCAACAGAUGAAUGAAUAAAGAACAUGUGGCGUGUAUAUGCAAUGGGAUACUAUCUGGCCCUCAAAAGGAAGGAAAUCCCGCCAUUUGCGACAACAUGGAUGAACCUAAAGGACAUUGUGCUAAGUGAUAUAAGCCAAGCACAGAAGACAAAUGCUGCGUGAUUCUACUUAUAUGCAGUGUCUGAAGUAGCCACACUCUCA